AUUGAACGCUGGCGGCAUGCCUUACACAUGCAAGUCGAACGGCAGCACGGGAGCAAUCCUGGUGGCGAGUGGCGAACGGGUGAGUAAUAUAUCGGAACGUGCCCAGUCGUGGGGAUAACGUAGCGAAAGCUACGCUAAUACCGCAUACUAUCUAUGGAUGAAAGCGGGGGAUCGCAAGACCUCGCGCGAUUGGAGCGGCCGAUAUCAGAUUAGGUAGUUGGUGAGGUAAAGGCUCACCAAGCCGACGAUCUGUAGCUGGUCUGAGAGGACGACCAGCCACACUGGGACUGAGACACGGCCCAGACUCCUACGGGAGGCAGCAGUGGGGAAUUUUGGACAAUGGGCGCAAGCCUGAUCCAGCAAUGCCGCGUGCAGGAUGAAGGCCUCGGUUGUAAC
rnacentral:rRNA from 1 species